UAUGUCAUUGCAUAAAACAAACAUUUGCAUGUGCUAAAAAAAAAUAAUUAACAGAAAUUCUUUCAAAAGAAAUAUACAAAUUAGAUUUUUCAGUAAAAUGUAUUUCAGCCUUGCAGUAUAUUAAUGAACCAAUCAGAGAUUAGUAUGUUGUUGUUGGUUUUACAGCUUUUUAAAAUAAUUACUUUUAAUCACGACAUUCAGUUUUUUAGGCAAAUUCAAAAAAGUCAGUUUCUACAUUUGAAAUUCAACUUUAGUUGGGGGGCGGGACUGUUGGCGUAAAGUAAGCCUGCUCCGACUUCCCGUCAUCCAUCUGUUUACACUCUCCAACUUGCUUACAGCCCCCUCCACCCCCAAUUUAAAAUUACAGCUACACGAUUUUCGCCUGCUCCUGAUUCACAACUAUUUGAAUAAAUGAAUACUCACAAAUGCUAUUUUAAGCUAAAUAUAUGUCCUCCAUCAUGACAAAAAUGACACAAAAACAUGUUAAAAAAUACAACAACAAAAGAUGACUUAAUGGAAAAACUAAAACACUGAACGAAUCAGAGAUAAUCACCAGUUUAACCACAGAUAACCAAAAGCUUGCAGGUAAUCUCCUCCCCCUGCCGGGGAUGUUUUGGAGGUGAAACGUCUCCACCCAGGUGGGUGUGUUGAGAGCAGAGGAAAACAUCACCUAAAAGUUCCCGGGAUCGAUUCCCGCUGAGUGAAAGGCAGCUUUUCUUUUCAACAUUUGAGUGACUCCCAGCGGGGGGGCUCCUCAAAGCACAUUACCGAGCUGUGAAGCCAGCAGCCCACUGAGAGUCACCAGACUGCUAGAAAUAAACCGCACGCGCCCGUGUUUAUCAGGAUACCGGCGCGCGCGGGGAGGAAGGAAGGAAGGAAACUCCUCUUUAAACGAGGAGAACCCCCAACAUUUAAAACGACCUGUUCGUUAAAUAAAACGAGCGGCGGCGAGCACGUUUCAGUCGAAAACAAAACACUCACGAGACUACGUCAGAGUCACAACACCUGAAUCGUUUUACUACAGUGCUAGCAUGUGGAGCGCGCGCGCGCUCCGUACGCUUUUGACAGUUUAAAUAGCACGCACCUUCUAAAAACGAAAGUGAGCACUUUAAUUUGAUUUAUAGUUAUUCCCCCAAAACACACAGCGAAGUUGUAUUUUGUCAGCAUGCUCUUAAAGAAGCGGACUCUUACCUGCAGGACACCGUGAUUUCAACUUUUGUGGCCGGAAUGGACGGGUUGAGCGGGUCGAUGUCUCCUAUGGACGCCAUGUUCGGGAAACUGUUGUUCAUGGUGUCGGAAUGUGGUUUUCCGCCUCUCCUCGGGUCCAGCCUCUUUUUUUUACGAGCGAUAUAAAGGAGAUAAAGUGUGUGCCUCCUCGGCGGGAAGUGGAGCAGAGGAGCCGCGGAGGAGAAGCGAGGAGCUGCGCGAUGUGAUGUCACCUCUCUCCUCCGCCUCCAUCCCUCCUCUCUCCUUCUCCUGGGGCUCUCCGCCAAACACUUCCCCCCUUAUUUUUUCCUCCCUGCCUCUCACUCCUUCAGUUCACCAGCCCCGCGUUUAUUGGCCUUCAGUAAUGAUAUAAUGACCAAUGAAUCAAACAUAAAUAAAUCUGCCAUAGCAGCUCAAACAUCCCCACAUCCUCAAUAUUCACAGCAGUUUCUUUUCCAGGUGGAUUGCUGGAAGAAGAAGUCUCUUUCCAGGGCCGGAUAAACCUUUUUGGGGGCCUGGGGUCCAUCUUUAACCCCCUACCCACCAUGAUGUUAUCAAGGCUAGUUUUUGAGUGGACCCCAUGGUGCAGUGGUAGAGCGGUUAACCCCCUAAUUGGAGGAUUGCAGAGCCCCAUGUUGGUCCUGGUGGUUACUGUAGCCUUUAAGUAAGAACACACCAUUUCUUGCCUAUUUGAUCAUUUUCAGCAAACAUAUCAAACUCCAUCCUGCUCAGGAUUAACUAACUGUCUGUCUAUCAUCCAGUCUUUGGUCUGAAGUAGCAAAAACAUGUUUUUCUCUUAUGAAUGGCUUCGUUCCUAAACGGUGGUGUGCCAGGUUGAUAGCAACGAUCUGUUAUGAUGUGCUAAUUUACACUUCAUCUCCCAGAGCUCAGCUGAAGGGCCCUUCAAGCAUAACAGGCUUUGACACACAGUUUAUGCUGAUCUGCAGUUCCGUAAACGUAACCUUUUAACAGCAGAUGAUUCAAUUCCAAGAGCUCCGUUCUGUUGAGCAGAGCACACACUCGACCCGCUCUCUAUCAGCGAAAGUUCAUCUCCCUCUCAUUAACUGAUCGGCUCACAAGCCCCUGCCUGGUUUCACCUCCGAACCCCCACCGGCGCGUUAGCCCCUCCCUGCAGUUCAAAAGCCUGGGUAGUUUUUAUGGAGCGUUUUCGUUUGGGCUGAUAAUCGGGAUCCCCCAGAGAAGAAAAGAACUUGAUGUCGCAGCGGAAGAUCUUCAAAGCAGAGUCCGUAUCACGGCUCAUCAGAUGUGGUUGUUUUGGUGCUAUUUUUAGCAGAAAGAUUCACUGCCUGGAAGCUGAAAAGAAAAAGAAAAAAAAGGGGCAUAAACUGUCCUUUCCAGCCUGUUUAGCUUAAAGGAAAAUGUCUGAGGCAGAAAAAGAUGCAGUCCAACCACAGUUCUUCAUUUACAUGUUUCAGCUCCAGUGACACCACAAAAACAAUCUCAUCUGGAGCCAUUUCAUGUAAACAGCUCAUAUUUUCCCAGUGUUACAGUCAUUUUUAAUAAAAGUUGGGACCUUUAAAUGCCUCCCUACUGGUUGCCUGGCAACUUCAUAGCAUAACUUUAGUGAAUUCCCUUCAGCCUGUGAGUCGAUAUAAAACUACAACUUGAAGGUGAAGUUUGUGUUUGAAAAAAUAUUUUAAUAGUUUCAAGGAUGUUUCAUGUUUUGACCCCUCAGUGUAAGUGGAAGGCUUUUAUUUUUUUAAGUGAGUUUUAUUUUGAAAGGCCAACAAUGGGAUUGUGCAUGAUUUUUUGAGGGAUAAUCAAAAGGGAUAAAUUCAAAGACGUAAAAAGAUAAGUAACAUAAAAUCAUUUAAAUAUGAAAAAGCUUCUAAAUUUUAACUAAAAGCCAGAUUAAAAAGGGAAGUCCUACGGAGCUGAAACUUGGCAGAAAUUUAUAUUCCAUUUUUAUAUUACACAAAACAUUUAAGGUAAAUAUAUUCAGUUACCUUGAUUUUGAUGCUCUAUGCUUUCUGCACUAAUGCUUUUGGAGAAAUUUUUUUAUGAAAAAACAAAAAACAUUGGUUUGAUUUAGUAAAAUUUGUUGAUUUUAUUUUUCUUUUUGGUGUGGGACUGCAAUUUGAGCCAUUUCAGUAGAAUGGCCCAUUUAUAGAAAAUUAAUCAAAUUCUGUUCAUUUUUGUAUUUUGUAAAUAAAAGAUAAAAGAUGAGUUUGUUCCGGAGUUAUGUCGGUGUAGGUAAACAUCCCGUUUCUGCAUUCUGAUGAUAAUCAAAUACAAAUGUGUCUGGAUUUGAUGAAGAUGAAGAAUAACAACAUUCUAGGCGUCUGUGGAGCUCUACGACGGUGUUGCAGGUUUUUGUACUUAUAAAUAAAACAUGCUGGGCGGACUGCAGCUGCAAUACGGACGUUUUUUUUCCAACCACAAUUCCAAGUGACAUUUUUCUUUAUAUAAAAUCAAAAUUCAAUUAAUUUUGAAUAAUUUUACAUUUUUUGAUGCCAUAAUUUAAAUUAAAAUACAUUUUGGAAUUUAGAAUUGAAAAUGCAUUUCGGUCAUGAAUUUGUAAAAUUGUGUUUUGCAAUUUACUAUACAAUAAAAAAAGACAUUUCAAUUAAUUGUUUUCCUGUUUUCCACGACAAUUCAAAAUGUAAAUGUUUUUUGUUUUUUUUGCCGCUGUAUCACUUUCAACAUGGUACAGUAUGUUUCAGUAUUAUUUGCAGUUCUGAUGCCUUAUACUAGAAAAAAAUAACUAAUACUUUUCUGUAAAAGUACAGAGGCUUCUCAUAAAUUGUUGUCAGGCAGGAAUAAAUCAAAUUUUCCCCAUAAGACCAAUUACACACGGCUGCUCUCAGUAGAGCCCAACAUUAAAUAUUGAUCGUUCAUCAGUGUUCAUAUUCU